rnacentral:rRNA from 1 species
GACGAACGCUGGCGGCGUGCCUAAUACAUGCAAGUAGAACGCUGAAGGAGGAGCUUGCUUCUCUGGAUGAGUUGCGAACGGGUGAGUAACGCGUAGGUAAUCUGCCUGGUAGCGGGGGAUAACUAUUGGAAACGAUAGCUAAUACCGCAUAAGAGUAGAUGUUGCAUGACAUUUGCUUAAAAGGUGCAAUUGCAUCACUACCAGAUGGACCUGCGUUGUAUUAGCUAGUUGGUGAGGUAACGGCUCACCAAGGCGACGAUACAUAGCCGACCUGAGAGGGUGAUCGGCCACACUGGGACUGAGACACGGCCCAGACUCCUACGGGAGGCAGCAGUAGGGAAUCUUCGGCAAUGGACGGAAGUCUGACCGAGCAACGCCGCGUGAGUGAAGAAGGUUUUCGGAUCGUAAAGCUCUGUUGUAAGAGAAGAACGAGUGUGAGAGUGGAAAGUUCACACUGUGACGGUAUCUUACCAGAAAGGGACGGCUAACUACGUG